GCAGGAAUCGCCUAGCGGUCGAUGGCACGGGUCUUGUAAGCCCGCUUCUUUACGAACACGUCAGUUCAAAUCUGACUUCCUGCUCA
rnacentral:tRNA from 1 species